rnacentral:piRNA from 1 species
CUAAGGCUAAUACCGGCACGAGACCGA